CCUCUCUCCUCUCUCCCUCGAGUCGACCCUCUAUUCCUUUCUCUUCCUCUCAGAACCCAGCUCUAAUUUCUUGAAUCCAGCCCCAAUUGUACAAAAUCUUUGGCCAUUCCAAUCCCAAAAACACGAUCUACGCAAGAUGCAAACCUCACCAACAUGAAUUUUAACCCCAAUAUCAUUUGAUUUUCGAAAUCCCCAAAUCCUUCGACCCAACCCUAGCUGCUAGUUUGAACUUUGAAGUGGUUGCUCAGAUGCUUGUACGGUGUUGAAGUGGUGGUUCAGAGCAGAAAAAAAUAGGUCAAGGAUGGAGCCGAUGGACAUCGUUGGAAAGUCAAAAGAAGAUGCCUCGCUUCCGAAAGCAACUGCUGCGCUGCAUUUGGGAGGUGCAACCUCUUCUACAACAACUGCUACUUGAAGAUUUGGAUGCUGCAAACUAUUGGUGCUGAAGAUAUAGCGGCUUGUUUUUUGUCAA